rnacentral:miRNA from 1 species
UGGGAGCUGGACUACUUC